rnacentral:rRNA from 1 species
CUUGUAUUGUGAAACUGCGAAUGGCUCAUUAUAUCAUUAAUGAUUUCUUUGAUGGUGGUUAGCACAUGGAUAACUGUGCGUAAACGUACUAGCUAAUAGCAUGCGCAACACCCCNCGUUGGAGGGUAGAGCUAUUUAUUAAUAUAGCAACCAAUCUCCGGUCUCGGCCGGUGCGGCUGACUCAUGUUAACUUGCAAACCACACGACCUUGUGUCGGUGGGUCAUCAUUCAGAUUUCUGCCCUAUCAUUCUUUCGAUGGCGGUGUCGUGGACUGCCAUGGCUUUAACGGGUGACGGAGAAUUGGGGUUCUGAUUCCGGAGAGGGAGCCUGAGAAAUGGCUACCACAUCCAAGGAUGGCAGCAGGCGCGUAAAUUGCCCAAUCCUGACACAGGGAGGCAGUGACAAGAAAUAACAACGCAAGGGCCUUGUGCCUUUGCNAUGGAAUGAGAACAAGUCAAAUCUCUUAUCAAAAGCCAUUGGAGGGCAAGUCUGGU